rnacentral:rRNA from 1 species
AACGAGAUCGGGAUAACACCUGGAAACAGAUGCUAAUACCGGAUAACAACAGAUGAUGCCUAUCAACUGUUUAAAAGAUGGUUCUGCUAUCACUCUUGGAUGGACCUGCGGUGUAUUAGCUAGUUGGUAGGGUAACGGCCUACCAAGGCGAUGAUGCAUAGCCGAGUUGAGAGACUGAUCGGCCACAUUGGGACUGAGACACGGCCCAAACUCCUACGGGAGGCAGCAGCU